GCACAGCCUGUCAUUGAGAGUUGCCAAACAGAAGUGUUCCCAUUCCUUACUCCUAAAUGUGGACUUGAGGAGGGUCUUUGAAAGUCAGCUAGACCAAUCUCUAGUUGAACCUCAAGGAGAGUGAGGUACAGAGCAGAGACUGCUGGCUUCCAGGUCCAGCUGGCUCCCACUUGGCCUGGCCAGAGAAUUGGUCUGAUGGUGCCCACACCUUCACCAGAGGCCCUUUGGUGACCCCAUGCAUGUUUCCUUUGCAGGACAAGAUUAGAUGCACCCCGGUUGGAAACAAAGUCCCUGAGCAGCUCCGUGUUACCACCCAGCUAUGCUUCAGAUCGCCUGUCAGGAAACAGCAGGGACCCUGCUCUGAAACCCAAGCGGUCCCACCGCAAGGCAGACCCUGAUGCUGCCCACAGGCCACGGAUCCUGGAGAUGGACAAGGAAGAGAACCGGCGCUCGGUGCUGCUGCCCACACACCGGCGGAGGGGUAGCUUCAGCUCUGAGAACUACUGGCGCAAGUCCUACGAGUCCUCAGAGGACUGCUCUGAGGCAGCAGGCAGCCCUGCCCGAAAGGUGAAGAUGCGGCGGCACUGAGUCUACCCGCCGCCCUCCUGGGAACUCUGGCUCAUCCUUACGUAGUUGCCCCUCCUUUUGUUUUGAGGGUUUUGUUUUUGUUUAUUGGGGUUUUUUUUUUUGUUUUUGUUUGUUUGUUUGUUUUUUGUUUUUUUUUUUGAUUCUAUAUAUUUUUCCUUGGUUUGUUGCCUGUUAAGGCUGAAGAAUAGAAUUGGCCAGGACCUAGGUUCUCAUAUUCUUGGAAUUCCUCCUGGAUAGAAAGGCUGUUAGCAUCAAUAGGGGACAGAGGCUGAUGCUGGAGUGGCCAGUAGAGGUGGUGGAGCAGAGCAGCCAUCUUUUAAGUGGGGCUGUAUCAGGCUGGGUUUAUUUAAAAGCAACAAAAUGUUUUGGUUAAGAAAAUUAUUUUGCUUUCAGUGUAAAUCUUCGCAGUGUUCUAAACAAAGUUCAGUCUUCUGCUCGCCCCUUUCCUCCACUGAUGUCUGCACUUGGUUGAGGUCUCCUGGAGCCUCACAGGCUCUGCAUGGGGGCUGCUGUUCUCCACUUCUCACCUGCCAUCCACGCCCUGCAAGCUCAUGCAAACACCCUUUCUUCCUCCUGCGGCAGAGUUGUUCAGGUUGCCUGGGCAGGGGCUUAAACAGUGCCAGCCCCUGCCAUCCCAAAGCUAUUGUUAAGCCCCCCAGGCGUCCUCCACCCACGCCCACUAGCCUGCCCUGUCCACAGUUCCUUGGGCUGCUGAGGGGCUAGUGCAGUGGUCCUGACCUCUCUUCUCAAGAGCACACUUCUUUGCUGGUUGCUCCUUUUGAGCAUAUGCGUGUGAUUAUUUGAACAGUUAGACUUGCCACGUUGGGUCAGUUUUAGAAAUUGUUUCUAGCUAGAGGGACUGGUGUCCUUCCAAGUCUAGCAUUUGGGGUAUGGAAAAUUGUUGUGGUGUGUGGUAGGGUUUUUGUUUUCUUUUUUGAGUUUUUUUUCCCCCUUUAGUCUCCUGGCUUUUUCCUUUCCCUUCCCUUCUCCAUUGGCCAGCUUGGGCCUCAUCCUCAUGUCAUCCUUCUAGGAAGGCGCCUGCCCCCUCUUGUCUGCUGGCAGCAUGCAUCCAAGGCCAGAGCUCAGGCCUGCAGACUGGGCUGGUGCCUCCUCCGCUUCAGGGUAUGGGAGUUGGUGAAGGGGCUUUCAAAAAAUAAUAAUAAAGAAAAAAAAGGUAAAGUCUUUGGUAGCUUCUAUCCACUCAGAUCCUGGAAGGCAGCAAGGUUUUGUGGAUCUAGAUUCAUUAGGAAUGUCUUCUUGUCAGCCAGGCCAGGACCCGGGCUUGCCAAAAGCAGAGGCCCUCCCAGCAACCAGGAUACCACCACUUUGGGGGCUUUGUGUACAGAGGUCCGGGUCUGAGACCUCAUAGGCUGCAGAAAUCUGGGGCAGCCACCAUCAAGAAGCCCCUCUCAGGGGCCAGAACUCCUUUGCCAGCGUGGAUUUCUCAAGUCGGGACUGCAUAAUUAAAGCAGUUGCAGUUUUAUUUUUUUUACAGCUUUUUUCCCAAAAAUGAUUUGUAGUUGUGUGUGCAGCACUUUGCCCUGAUAUGUGUGCUCUACAAUAAAAACCAAAUCUAAUAUAUUUUGAAA
rnacentral:sRNA from 1 species